GACGAACGCUGGCGGCGUGCCUAAUACAUGCAAGUUGAGCGCUGAAGGUUGGUACUUGUACCAACUGGAUGAGCAGCGAACGGGUGAGUAACGCGUGGGGAAUCUGCCUUUGAGCGGGGGACAACAUUUGGAAACGAAUGCUAAUACCGCAUAAAAACUUUAAACACAAGUUUUAAGUUUGAAAGAUGCAAUUGCAUCACUCAAAGAUGAUCCCGCGUUGUAUUAGCUAGUUGGUGAGGUAAAGGCUCACCAAGGCGAUGAUACAUAGCCGACCUGAGAGGGUGAGCGGCCAGAUUGGGACGGAGACACGGCACAAACUCCUACGGAAGGCAGCAGGAGGGCAUCUUCAGCAAUGGACGAGAGUCUGACCGAGCAGCGCGGCGUGAGUAAGGAGGGUUUUCGGAUCGUAAAACUCUGUUGGUAGAGAAGAACGUUGGUGAGAGUGGAAAGCUCAUCAAGUGACGGUAACUACCCAGAAAGGGACGGCUAACUACGUG
rnacentral:rRNA from 1 species